rnacentral:tRNA from 1 species
UGUGGCUCAGUGGUAGAGCAUCAACCCAUGCACCAAGAGGUCAUGGGUUCGAUUCCCGUCA